GCUUGCUGUGGUUUAAUUAAAAAAAAAAAAAAAAAAGAAAAAAGAAAAUUAAUCUGAAAGUUUAAAAAUUAUUUAGAGGAUACAUUAAGCAUUUGGCUUAACAGAGUUAUAUAAGAAGCUUGUGUUUUUUGUUUACUUUUGUUUUUAUUAUGUUUCUGUAGACAUUUUUUUUUUUUUUCUGUUUUGGUAAAAGCAAGAAUCAGGGUCACCUGUUUUAAGACAGAUCAUGCUGAAAGACUGUCCUGAGGCUGAACAAGAUGUGGUGGGAUUUCCGGAUGGCUCUGCUUUGACAACCAGAGAUGUAUAGAUUUGACAGUUCGUGAGUGUAAUAAUUUGUAGCUUUUUCUUAACCAAGGAUUUUGGUCAAUUUUGUGUUAAUUCACUGCAUUGGAAGUGAACACCAAGAAGUUUAGUCAGAAGAACGAGUAGGACAGUACCUACCUACAUAGAAAUCUAUUGCUUUUUUAAAAAGCCCUUGACUUCAGUGUAGCUUCAGUUUACCUCUGUUGUAGCAGAGACCACAAUAUCAAGUAAAGCAAGCUGAAGGAAGGUAUGAAUGUAAAGAGAUGUUCUUAAUGCAAAUAAUAGUGAGAAGAGUUUGAAUUAUGAUGGAGAUGCCUUGCCAUGACCAGAGGAAGUCUGCAGCAGACUGAGGAACAGAGCUCAACUUUUCUAGAUUUCAACCUAGUGAUCUUGUUCCUCAUUCACAGUUUUGUUUUGCAUAAGAAAGCUGAAAAAGGUCUGAGAAGUUUCACUUUUUUUUAUCCUUUGAUAUUCUGAUUAAGGCACUUUUCCAAACUACUUUUAUUACUGUUUUACUGAAAGAAGGAAUUUUGUGUGGCAUUUUUUAUAUCUUUAUGCAAGAGGGAACAAAGAAUAAUGCUGUCAU
ensembl:lncRNA